UCGAAUUAAAUAAAUUUUGAUAAAUAUUGAGGGUUAAUUAACAGAAAUUUUUUCUAAUGCUUACGAUACAGAUGCAAAGUGUUAAUGCGUUUAGUUAGAACACAACUUCGACUUCUUUUGUUAGCAAAACUUAUUCUCAACUUUGAAUGGAAAAUUUAUGUUGCAUUAAACGAAUGAAACGAAAACAAGACUAUCGUAUAAAUUGCCGCAUAAAAUAAAAUUUCAAAUACAACUUUCUUCAAUUUAGAAAUACAUAAAUUCCCUAUUUCAUUUGGUCAAUUGCGCGCGCAGUUUACUUGAGUUAGAAAAGCGCGGGAAUGUCAUUGCGCCAUUUGCGGCGCGAAGAGUCAUUGUACUGUCAGAAAUCGUGAUGUCGGGAUGUUUAGUUUGUUUGAAGUGUAUCUCAUUAAUCUCAGUAUCUUUCAUUAUCAUUUCCUAUCAUUGAACCGUCAUGGCGUCAAACUACGUUUCAAAAAUGCAGCAACAGUUCGUAACAUUUUCAUAUCCCGAGGUGUUUGUGAUCGCGCGCAAUGCAAUCGAUAGAGUCAGUGUUCGCCGCGUAACGUCAUUUUUAAUAUUUUUUUUAGAGCUUCCGUUAACAGUUAUAAAUUCAGUUAGAGUUUUAACGCGAAAUCGGAAUCAGUGUUUGUUCACCGAUGAUAAUUUAAGGCUAUAAGCCGAAAAGAUACGACAUAUUGUCAUUCAAGACGCAACUACAAUAGUGGUAUAUCCGAAACAUGGGAAGGUAUUUUUCAUUACUAUUAUUUUAUUACUUUAUUACUAUUCCACCUCUAUAUUGAGUAAAUCACAAAUGUUUAUUACUGUUGUGAACGAUUAACAUCGGUCGAAGUUUCUGAAUUAGAAGAUUUUGAAUUAGAGUUACAAAUGAACAUUAUUUUUAAUUGAUGAUCGUGUCUGCUUUAAUGUUUAUAAGAUAAAAAU